rnacentral:rRNA from 1 species
AUGGAGAGCAAGUGCGGGUGGGUGUCUCACUCAAAGCGAUGGAGGGUGAUACAACAAGAGUGCAACAAGUUUUGUGCAGCCUUGGAGAGCAUCCAAGCAUGUCCUGUGAGCGGCCUCGGCCUCAGAGAUAUGGCAUUCCAAGCUUUAGAGGCAUUGAAGGCCCAACAUCACGGCAAGUCCUUCAACCUCACCUAUUGUUGGAUGAUCAUCAACGGGGAGGAGAAAUUCAAGGCGCAAUAUGCCGCCGCUAAGGCGUGUGGGGGCAGGAAGUCAUCAAGGAGCAUGGGGAGGGCGAGAAGGCACGGCCGCGGGGGAAGACCAACUCCAAGAAGAAGGACAAGCGUGAUGCGGCGCCGAUUGCCUUGCAUGCAACUUUGGAGGGCAUGA